UAAUUGAAGAGUUUGAUCAUGGCUCAGAUUGAACGCUGGCGGCAGGCCUAACACAUGCAAGUCGAGCGGUAACAGGGGAAGCUUGCUUCYCGCUGACGAGCGGCGGACGGGUGAGUAAUGUAUGGGGAUCUGCCCGAUAGAGGGGGAUAACUACUGGAAACGGUAGCUAAUACCGCAUAAUCUCUCAGGAGCAAAGCAGGGGAACUUCGGUCCUUGCRCUAUCGGAUGAACCCAUAUGGGAUUAGCUAGUAGGUGAGGUAAUGGCUCACCUAGGCGACGAUCCCUAGCUGGUCUGAGAGGAUGAUCAGCCACACUGGGACUGAGACACGGCCCAGACUCCUACGGGAGGCAGCAGUGGGGAAUAUUGCACAAUGGGCGCAAGCC
rnacentral:rRNA from 1 species